UUUGGAUUCAACCUUCAUAAGUUUGCAGCGAUGAAUACUAAAAUAUAUCUAUUUCUGUUAAUUGCCGUUUUUACGGUUGUAUUGAUUUCCGAUGUUAUGGCUGCUCCAUCAGCUGAAAUAAAUUCUACUUCGCUCUCAAGAUCUAAGAGAGAUAUAUUAAAAGAAAUGAUAGACUCUUUUAUAAAAAUAAUGACAGAAAUCUAUUGUUUUACGCAUCCGAUUUGGACUCUGCUUAGUUCCUUAUUAUCAUUAUAAUAUUCAAGAUUAAAAUGCGUUUAAAAUAAGCUACGGCAUAAAAAGAUUAUGCCGCAAAUGAUUAUAAUAUAUUCAACAAAAUUUUCAAUUAUUGCUAGUAUUUAUUGCUAGUAAUAUAAUGUCUAUAAUAUUGUACAAGAAAUUUCAUAAAAUAAUAUUUUUGCUAUUAAAUUUAUGUCAAAUAUAAUAUGUAAUUAUGUUAUUUUAUUAUUAUAUUAAGCUAGUGAAAUAGUAAUCCUGUCACGAUUAGAUGACGAUAUAUACGAGAUAUAUAUGACGGAUAUAACAUAAUCUGUAAUAAUUUUUGUUAAUAACUUUUGUUUUUUUGAAUCUAUUCUAUCUUAAAAUUACUGCAAAAUAAAUCUUCUUAUCUGUCAUA